AUUGAACGCUGGCGGCAGGCCUAACACAUGCAAGUCGAGCGGAUGAAGGGAGCUUGCUCCUGGAUUCAGCGGCGGACGGGUGAGUAAUGCCUAGGAAUCUGCCUGGUAGUGGGGGAUAACGUCCGGAAACGGGCGCUAAUACCGCAUACGUCCUGAGGGAGAAAGUGGGGGAUCUUCGGACCUCACGCUAUCAGAUGAGCCUAGGUCGGAUUAGCUAGUUGGUGGGGUAAAGGCCUACCAAGGCGACGAUCCGUAACUGGUCUGAGAGGAUGAUCAGUCACACUGGAACUGAGACACGGUCCAGACUCCUACGGGAGGCAGCAGUGGGGAAUGUUGGACAAUGGGCGAGAGCCUGAUCCAGCCAUGCCGCGUGUGUGAAGAAGGUCUUCGGAUUGUAAAGCACUUUAAGUUGGGAGGAAGGGCAGUAAGUUAAUACCUUGCUGUUUUGACGUUACCAACAGAAUAAGCACCGGCUAACUUCGUG
rnacentral:rRNA from 1 species